AUACGGAGGGUGCAAGCGUUACUCGGAAUUACUGGGCGUAAAGGACGCGUAUGCGGUUUAGAAAGUCAGAUGUGAAAGCCUAAGGCUUAACCAUAGAACUGCAUCUGAAACUCCUAGACUAGAGUGAGGGAGAGGUCAGAGGAAUUAGUGGUGUAGGGGCAAAAUCCGUAGAGAUCACUAGGAAUACUCAUAGCGAAGGCGACUGACUGGAACUUUACUGACGCUGAGGCGUGAAAGCGUGGGGAGCAAACAGGAUUAGAAACCCGUGUAGUCC
rnacentral:rRNA from 1 species